GGGGCUGUAGCUCAGUUGGGAGAGUGCUUGACUGGCAGUCAAGAGGUCGCCGGUUCGAUCCCGGUCAGCUCCA
rnacentral:tRNA from 2 species